UCCUGGUUAACCCAGGCAGUCUCAUUAGAGUUCCCACCUUAACGUGCUGGCAACUAAUGAUAAGGGUUGCGCUCGUUGCGGGACUUAACCCAACACCUCACGGCACGAGCUGACGACAGCCAUGCAGCACCUGUACAAAGACCCUUGCGGGAGAUCUCAUUUCUGAGACUGUCCUCUGUAUUUCAAAUCUGGGUAAGGUUCUUCGCGUUGCAUCGAAUUAAACCACAUGCUCCACUGCUUGUGCGGGCCCCCGUCAAUUCUUUUGAGUUUCACCCUUGCGAGCGUACUCCUCAGGCGGUAUACUUAUCGCGUUAGCUACGACACAGCCGGGGUUGAGCCCAGAUACAUCAAGUAUACAUCGUUUACGGCAUGGACUAC
rnacentral:misc_RNA from 1 species